GUCAGGAAUGCUGAGAGUGAAGGCAGCCCUGCAUAUGACUUUCCCUUUGGGGAAUUUGCUGAACUCUCGUGAUAUUUGGCUUGUCCGUUUGUUUUUACUUUCUACUGGCGUAUAGCCAGCCGGUGAGGAAGACUGUGAUAGUUCCAGGUGAACAGCAGACGCACUGAGCCAUGCAUUCGCAUGUGUCCAUUCUCCUCCGAACUCUCCUCCCACCCAGGCUGCCAGAUAACACGGAGCACAGUUUCCUGCGUUAGACGUGCUCCAGGUGCCAGCAGAGAUGAGUUUUAUCCUUGCUACAAGCUUCUGGUCUUUGAUAUCCGACUGAAACAGAGUUUAAGGAGUUUUGGAGGGCAAGCAGGAGGCUGAUUGUCAAUGCCUUAAUGGGACCCCGCCUAACUCUUGUCUCAGGAAAUGCUAACAGCUGCAAGUAUCCAGGCUGAAGUCCCCAUCUGCACACCCCAUGAAAUGUGGACAGGAGGCCAGCUGCAAAUGUCUGAUCGGGAGCCCAUCUAUCUCCUGACUCAGAUUCCUGAGCUGAUCACAGUCUGAGGAAAGACACAGACAGUUGCUGAGUCAUGUAUGUGUCUGCCGGGAGCCGCCAUGGGAGAUCCCACCCAUGACAAGGUCAUGUGGAAGAGAACUGUUAAGCAAGUCUUCAGAACUCAACGGGCUCCCUAGGCUUUCUUGAGCAUCUGCCCCCAAAACCAGAAUCUGUCUGUUUUACUAUUUCAUGACUUUCACUAACUCCUCUGACAUUAACAGGGGGCUAACCUUGAUCACCUUUCUCUGGAGAAAAUCAACUUACAGCUAUAGCUAAUAAGUCUCCUGGACAUAAGAAGAAUAUUUCCAAUCAAAACCCCUAUGUUAGCAUUUUAGUUUGCUUGGCAGAUAUAUCCAGACUCUUGCAGCUACACAUAUGAUUAUUUCUAUCCUCCCAACUGUGAGAGGCACAGAAAGCCUAAAACAUAGAGCCUUUCAAAGAGUUAAAAGUUAUUAGAGUAGUGUUAAUGUAGGAUUUCAUUAUUGGGCCAAUGCUUGUUGCUAAGUUCCCAUGUCUCUUAUCCACUCUGCACCUGGGAGUGCAUUAGUUAACAUAGUUGAAAAGUAAGAAAAACAAGUGUAGCCUUGAAAUUAACCACAUCAGACUUUUGAGCUAAUUGGUUCUUUCUUGUAAUUUACUGCACCUUUACUCCGUGAGAAAUGUAGCUUGUUUAAUACUUUUUGAGGCUGAUAUAGAUUAGAAAUAUAAGAAAAAACAUUUCAGGGGAAAAUAAGUCUUCUGGUUGAGAAGCGUUUAUCAAAAGAGGGUUAUAAAAUGUUCUCAGGCCUCCAAGGCCAAAAGAUAAUGUACACAAUAUUGUUUAUGAGAAAGGUUUGCAGAAAAAUCCUGGUUUCGAUAAAGGCGAAACAGAUGUAAUGUUUGGGCUGACUCUGUAUGACUUUGCAUCUUUCAUUUCCCUCUAUGUACAAGUAAAGGUAUAAAAGACCCUUUUGAAAACAAAAACAAUGGGCCUCGCUUGAAGAAGCUUGGUCACCCCGUGUUUUUCUUUUUUUCUCUUUUUUUCUCUCUUACUUUCUUUUUUCAGGCUGAUCCCUUGGAGCACAGAGGCUCCCUGCGUUCACUUAUCUGCCCGGGUUUCUAAGACCUGAACGGGAAGACGUUCUGCGUCUUCACUCCCUCGGGAGACCGGGAAGGCACCUGUGGCCUCCAUGAACAGGGCAAACUUCUUGUCUCGAAGUUUUAUUGGCUUUCUAUGUAAACCAAGGAAUAUCAGCCUCUUUCUCUCCUCUAUUUUCUCAUCUACAAUAUUCUUUCCUUAUUUCUCUCUCUGAAUCAUCUGCCGAUGCCGUUUUUCCUUCAGGUUCCCCUGGAUCCUGCGGGGGCUGGACUCCAGCGUGUGUCUUCCGACAGAGCCUAGGAAACCACCAGUCUUCACCAUGGUCCGCUGGAGGGAGAAAGGAGGAACAGCUCACGCGCCCAACUCCUCCUGCCUGUCCGUGUUCACUAGUGCAGAAUCCUCUGUAUUUCUGGGUUGUGUUCUCCAGCAUCCUCUGACCAACUACUGGCGGAGCCAUGGCCCACAUCUGGUGGCUUGGGGCUUCACUUGAGUUCAAAAGUGAGGAAGGAGCCAAAGUCUUUUCGGAUUCAGUCAUGUUUAUUAUUUUUUUAAAAUAUGUAUUUAUCUGCUUCCGGCUGUCCCAGGUCUUUGUAGCUGCUCUUGGACUUUCUCUAGCUGCGGUAGGUGGGAGCGGCUCUCCAGCUGUGGCGCCUGAGUUUCUCUCCCUGUGCUCACCAGCUCUAGAGUUCACGGGCUCAGCAGCUGUGGUCACGGGCUCAGUUGUCCCACGGCCUGUGACAUCUUCCUGGACCAGUGACUGAACCCAGGUCCCCUGCAUUGGCAGGUGGAGUCUUAAAUGCUGGACCACAGAGAAGUCCUUCACAGUGUUUAGAGUCUCCAGACACAAUAGGGUAUUCAGUCAAAUUCGGAUGUCAUUUAUUGUUUUUUAAGUAAUUUAUUUAUCUGGCCACGUGGCUUGUGGGAUCUUCAUUCCCCGACCAGAGAUCGAAGCCCACCCAGGCUUAUGGCAGUGAAAGCACCAGGUCUUAACCCCUGGACUGCCAGUGAACUCCCAAAUUUGAAUGUGAGACAAAUAGUGAAUGUUUUCCUUAGUAUAAGUAUGCCCCCAAUGUUGCACAAGACAAACGUCUACUAAAAAAUUACUUGUUGUUUUCCUGAAAUUUAAAUGCAAUUGGACAUCUUGUAUUUUCAUCUGCUAAGUCAUGCAACCUUCCUCUCGUGGGGCGGGUGGAGGCCACGGCAGAGUCUGGACCCCCUCCUGGGAGAGGUCGAGUGCCCGUACAGGUGAUGGAUUGGACGGCCACUCAGCACUCUUCACAGGGGAAGCAGUGGAGGGCUGGGGUGGCUGAUGCAGCUGGAGAUAUCUAGAGAGGCAAUAAAUUCACCUGGUACAACCUAAGCCUGUGGGUUCCGGAGGCCUUUAGAAGGAAAUCACAUUUAAACUGAAAUAUUAAGGACCGGCAAGAAUCCGCCUGGAUAAUUUGUGGAGUAGUUCCAUCUGAAUAAACAGCAUCCACUGUCCAUCCAGUCCAUCCUAAAGGAGAUCAGUCCUGGGUGUUCACUGGAAGGACUGAUGCUGAAGCUGAAACUCCAAUAUUUUGGCCACCUCAUGCGAAGAACUGACUCACUGGAAAAACCCUGAUGCUGGGAGAGAUUGGGGGCAGGAGGAGAAGGGGACGACAGAGGAUGAGAUGGUUGGAUGGCAUCACCGACUCAGAGGACUUGAGUUUGAGUAAACUCUGGGAGUUGGUGAUGGACAGGGAGGCCUGGCGUGCUGCAGUCCAUGGGGUUGCAAAGAGUCGGACAUGGUUGAGUGACUGAACUGAGUUGAACUGAAGCUCACCAAGUACCCUAUCCAUCCUGAUGCUUGCCCUGGAAAUCCCUGAAAUUCCCCACAAUCAAGGGAUGAAGGAAGCUUCUAGGACUCUUGCAUUGAGCAUAGCCUGUAUCCAUCCUCAUUUUGUCAUUUAAACAGGAUAGAAAUAGUCACCCCCUCCAGGACCUCCAGGCUGGCGAGUAUGUAAAUCAGCCACCUUCUCUCGCUUGCAUCUGGAAUAUAGCAUUGCUGCCAAGAUGGCCGCAGCACAGAAGUGCGACCUCAGCCACAGAGGUCACAAAGACAGUUUGGGCUCAGCUGAAGCAACAGCUUUUUAAGAAUCAGAGCCGUCCAGAGACAGUAGGUAGGGAGCCACCCUGCCAUGGAACAUCCAAGCCAAGGGAGGAUGGCCAGUUUGCAAGACAGUCCGGGAGGACGCUGAAGCCUUGGGCUGAGAGCGCCUGUCCCUUCCAAUCAUGAGACUCCAUAAUUCUUGUUUCUAAAUUAGAUGUCAGUAAGCUAUGGAGCCCAGGAAAAACCCAGCGUCCGCCUCUUUCUGUAGAGACUUAUUGGAACACAGGCAUGCUAUACAGUUAGUAUCAUCCACACGUAGCUCGCACUCUGAUGGCAGAGUUGAGCACUCAUCACAGACGCUGUUUGGCUGCAAAGCCUAAGACAUUCACUAGCUGGUGGCCAAUUAUAGGAAAAGCUUGUGAACGUCGUUCUAAGAGACUCCUGGGAUGAAGCCUUUGAUAAAGCCUCCAAUUAUCUCCGACCUACCUGUGCCGUUUAUCUGUAUGGCAAGGCUGCUAGACUGCUUUCCUUAAAGAUACGCGUGUGUUUGUUCAGGAUAUUAACAAAAAAUAUUCAGGGGCUCCCUCUGAGUCAGUGUAACUUCCCGACCAGUGCUAUCAAAUGGAUCGAGAGAAAAAAAGGCUCCUGAGGUGCUCCAACAUGGCUUUCCUUCCCUCCCCUCCUGCGAGAGUUGAGCUGCAGAGUCAGCGUGAAGACUGCAGCAACAAGCUCGGCAGAGCUGAAAGCUGAUACACACGGAGCUCCUAGCUGGGUUGUGCAGAGCUUUACAUGGAGAGUUUCAGUCAAUCCUCUUAACAACUUCAUCUACUGCUUAGAAGGACGUCACAGUUGAGGACAUGGAGGCUUAGGGAGACUCCAGAACUUGCCCUGAGUCACCUAUGGAGGCAGGAUGCUGCUUCUAUUUCAAUGCUGAAACCUCUAUUUCGUAUAUACAUAUGUCAGUCUAGCUGUUGAGAUAUUUUGAGUGACUGUACAAAGCACAACAAAGUCUAGAGACUGAAUAGACUCACAGCCCAGCCCAUGCGCUUAAUCUCAUAUUUAGAUCACAGAAAAGUAGUCACGACAAUGGGAAUAUUUCAUUGGAAGAUCCAAAGCUCCCGAUUCUGCAUAAUUCCACGAUGGCAGAACCACCUCCCCUAACUCACUUGUUUUCAUGGUUAUUUCAAACAGAAAGAAAAAUGGUGGCGAUUUUCACUUCAUCUCUGCUCGACGUCUGUCUGAAGACCCUGCAGCUAAAGAGGGAAGGACUGAAUACUAGAUGGGGUUUGUAUUAUCCAAAAAUAAAACAAAUACAGAAAUAUGGACUCCUGCCAGCAGUUAACCCAGAGCGGCCAGAUGCCACCCAGUCACUUCUUUUGGUCAAAUCUUCCUCCAAGAGGGAAUUACAUGACAGGAAAGACUCUGGGACUAAGAAACAAGAGCGUGAGAGGAAUCCCAGGUGUUUCUGACCCUGCGGUGGACAAGCUCUCUGUUUGUCUUCAGCUGAAUGCGAAUGCAAGAGGCGCUCUUCAUAUUAGACUGGUGUUAUUAGGAAACCUGAAAACUGAUCGGAGAGGGAGUAAGGCUGGUCUUAACUGCUCAGUCCAGUGGAGCUUAGCUUCAGUUCAGUUCAGUUUAGUUCAGUUCAGUCGCUCAGUCGUGUCUGACUCUUUGCAACCUCAUGGCUGCAGCAGGCCAGGCCUCCCUGUCCAUCAC
ensembl:lncRNA